CUACACAUGCAAGUCGAGCGAGAAGUUUUGAAAAGAUUCUUCGGAUGAAAUUUAAAAUGGAAAGCGGCGGACGGGUGAGUAACGCGUAGGCAACCUGCCCCAUACAAAGGGAUAGCAUUUGGAAACGAAUAUUAAUACCUUAUGAAACUUAACUAGUGCAUGCUAGGUAGGUCAAAGAUUUAUCGGUAUGGGAUGGGCCUGCGUCUGAUUAGCUAGUUGGUGAGGUAACGGCUCACCAAGGCGACGAUCAGUAGCCGACCUGAGAGGGUGAACGGCCACAUUGGAACUGGGACACGGUCCAAACUCCUACGGGAGGCAGCAGUGGGGAAUAUUGCACAAUGGGGGAAACCCUGAUGCAGCAACGCCGCGUGAACGAUGAAGGCCUUUGGGUCGUAAAGUUCUGUUCUAGGUGAUGAAAACUGACAGUAACCUAGGAGAAAGCCCCGGCUAACUCCGUGCCAGCAGCCGCGGUAAUACGGAGGGGGCAAGCGUUAUCCGGAAUUAUUGGGCGUAAAGGGUACGUAGGUGGCCUUUUAAGCGUAGGGUAUAAGGCAAUGGCUCAACCAUUGUUCGACCUAUGAACUGGAAGGCUUGAGUGCAGGAGAGGAAAGCGGAAUUCCUAGUGUAGCGGUGGAAUGCAUAGAUAUUAGGAGGAACAUCAGCGGCGAAGGCGGCUUUCUGGACUGCAACUGACACUGAGGUACGAAAGCGUGGGGAGCAAACAGGAUUAGAUACCCUGGUAGUCCACGCCGUAAACGAUGAGCACUAGGUGUCGGGGUCGUAAGGCUUCGGUGCCGUAGUUAACGCAUUAAGUGCUCCGCCUGGGGAGUACGCACGCAAGUGUGAAACUCAAAGGAAUUGACGGGGACCCGCACAAGCAGCGGAGCAUGUGGUUUAAUUCGAAGCAACGCGAAGAACCUUACCAGGACUU
rnacentral:rRNA from 1 species